GCCAGCUGUCCUCCGCCGAGCGGAAACUGGGGGGCGGGGGCAGCCCCGGAAUCGGAUAGCGAGAAACGGGGGGCAACAGCUCGCGCCAGCGCUGCCCCCCCCCAUCCCCUCUCCUCGUUCUUGCCCCCAAGCUCUUAUCUCCACCCCGCCCGUUCUUGCCCCAUCCCCAUCCCGUUACCCCAAUCCUCCCUUCCCCCAUUAUUCCCCCCCACUCCCCUGGGUGAAACCCCCUCGCCUCACCCAUUACUGCCCCGCCCCGCCUGUUCUUGUCCCGCCCCCGUUGCCCGGGCGACAGGCUCCCCCUACCCUCGCGGCUCUUCUUUGGCUGUCCCCGGGGAGGCGAGGCGAUCGAUGAUGACAUCAUCAUUUCGCGCCAACCCCCCCCAGUCGCCUCGGCCGGUACCGGUUGGAGCCCGAGCGCCGCUGGCCCGCACAUGCGCAUAGCAGCGCUCGACCUCAGGCCCGGGCCCCCCCCGGGCCCGGGACCCCUGCCCCCAGUAGCGGCGGGCACUCGGCCCGGGACCAUGGGCAGCGCGGCCUGUUCCUUCCUGGAAAUUCAGCAGAAAGUUUGCAUUCAUAGGUUGCUGAAUCUUUUCCAUAUUAAUGGAUGACAUUUGGUAUGUGCACUGCAAAUCCUGCUCUGGGACUCUGUGAACUGUGGGGUGCCUGAUGCCUGUAAUCCCCAUUCCCCGCCGUGUCCGUUCUUUCCACGGCCCCCACACAACAUGUCUUCAUUCAGCCUGUGGCCCAGUAAGGACCACUCACUUGGUGCGCACCAAGUACAACAACUUCGACAUCUAUCUGAAAUCCCGAUGGAUGUACGGAUUCAUUCGUUUCCUGCUGUACUUCAGCUGCAGCCUGUUUACCUCCAUCCUCUGGGUGGCACUCUCUAUCUUGUUUUGCCUUCAGUACCUGGGCAUCCGGAUCUUUCUGCGUUUCCAGUACAAACUCUCCAUCAUCCUCCUCUUGUUGGGGCGAAGGCGGGUGGACUUCAGCCUCAUGAAUGAACUGCUCAUCUAUGGAAUUCAUGUGACCAUGCUGCUAGUGGGGGGGCUGGGCUGGUGUUUCAUGGUGUUUGUGGAUAUGUAAAUAAAGUGAGCGCACGUGGGCUCAGGAGGCGACUCUUACUCUACCCCAAAA